CCUCACUUUCGAUCAGAUUUUGCUCCAUUAGCUUAUGUGGAUGCAAAGAGCGGGUUUCUGUGUUACAUACCUAUUGCGAUGGAAAUUUGUGCCUGUUGUUGCCCCUUCCAACACGACAUCCCACGUGGGUGCUCGGUUGGACUUGAUAGUGGGUCUUGUGCUCCUUGAACAUCUCGUUUGAUUUGUUUGGAUGGACCACGAGUCUUCACUUGUUUUCUCGGAUGCGGAACUUUAUUCAUGGGUGUAGUGGUCAUCGGCCCUUACUCCUAAUAUCAAGCGUUUAUCGCUUUAUCGGAAUGACGCUCUCGCCUUGUCUUUGAYCGCGUGAGCUCUCGGGCUUAUGGCGGAUCAUGCUUGGCAGACGUCGUGAAGGAAUGCUACCUGGUUG
rnacentral:misc_RNA from 1 species